UACGUAGGGUGCAAGCGUUUGUCCGGAAUUAUUGGGCGUAAAGAGCUCGUAGGCGGUCUGUCGCGUCGGAUGUGAAAAUCCAGGGCUCAACCCUGGACCUGCAUUCGAUACGGGCAGACUAGAGUUCGGCAGGGGAGACUGGAAUUCCUGGUGUAGCGGUGAAAUGCGCAGAUAUCAGGAGGAACACCGGUGGCGAAGGCGGGUCUCUGGGCCGAUACUGACGCUGAGGAGCGAAAGCGUGGGGAGCAAACAGG
rnacentral:rRNA from 1 species